CACCACUCCAGCCUCGCUGGGCCUUGGGCGCCGCCGCUCCGCCGGCGCGCCCCAACGUCUCCGGCUGAGCCGUCCGUCUCGAAGCGUUGUGGCAACUCAACCCGCUUCCGGGGCCGGAGGGCUCGACGCCGUCAAAACACACCAUCCUCA
rnacentral:misc_RNA from 1 species